UUUCUUAAAGGGUGGUUGCACGGAAACACAACUGACUCGGGGCCACCAGGAAUCCUAGUGUUGUUUUUUGUGGCGAAUAAAAGGAACCCGUAAGACGUUGGAUGAUUACCUAACUUUUGGACUUAAUUUAAGCAACAAUCACGAUCUCUACAAAAACUUUUCAUUCUCUACAUAGGAGGCUUUUGGACAAGUGCUGCUAUUUAUGUCCAAACACAAGAAUGGAAUCCUUAAGAUUUUCUACGUCUUCUUCCAGAAUCAUAAGCAAGUUCUCCCUGGCCCCUCUGCCUCUGUAGGCUCACUCCCUCUUCUUGUAGGUCUGCCAAAUAAUUGAGCCUUUGGUGUUCCUAUCACCUGCCAGCCUGGAAUUUCUCUGACAGCUUUGCAGGAAAUGAGUGUGCUGCCUGACCGUCAUCUUAGACUUUAUCCUUGAUCUAGCCUUGAUAAAAACCUAAGUCACUCGGGAAACUGUUUAAAUUGCAGAUUUUAGAAUUUAGGGUCUCUGAUACCAUCAUGAGAUGUUGCAACCAAAGAGGUCAUGGUGCAACUCGUCCUUGGGAGACACCUUUCCUGGACUUCCACUGGUGUUUUGUGGCUUUGAGCUGUUUGUUUGUUUUGUUUUUGUUUUUGUUUUUUUAUAUACUUUUACCCCUACUUCAGAAUAGAUUGGGAGUCCCAAAAGGAAAGUGGAAUUUUGGAGUGUGUUCUACAUGAAGUGGCCCUACUCCUCAACAUGCUACAUGCUUAAUAAAUGUUCUCCUGAGUAAGCCAGAAUCUGAAGAUGGUUUAGGAUUUACCAGACAAAUUAGUGUAUCUGUUCACUGCAGGCUCCAAUGAAUUCUCACUGAACUUUAACCCCCCCACAUCUACAUCCAGUUUUUCUAGAUAUUUUUAUUCCUCCUCAUCCUCAGAAGGAUCCAGUUUUAAUAGAAUGUUAUAUUGACCAAGCAUUGAAAGCUAAUUCCCAAUGCGAUGUAAUGAUAUUUGGAGGUGGGUCUUUGGACGAUAACGGAUCACGUGAUGUCUAAGCUGGCACAAAUGGAGAAGACAGCAAUCUGAGUAAAGAAAUUUCCUUGGAAGAUACUAAAUCUGCUGGUCCCUUGAUCUUGGGCUUCCCAAGCCCACGGAAUACGUGGGAAGUUUCUUUUGUUAAACCAUCCAGCUUAUGGUCUAUCAGUCUAUCAUAGGCACUCAGAAAGACCGCAACACAUAAGGGCUCCCUGGAUAGGAGACAGGUGUAUUCCAUUUGUCUCACUUCAAAAGUGGUUUUGGGUACUGAAUCUGUGAACAUAUAAGUGAUCUCAUUUGACACCACCAAUGUGAGUAACAGAGAAGAAUAAAUUCUACAUUAAUGAGA